rnacentral:rRNA from 1 species
AUUGAACGCUGGCGGAAUGCUUUACACAUGCAAGUCGAACGGCAGCACGGACUUCGGUCUGGUGGCGAGUGGCGAACGGGUGAGUAAUGUAUCGGAACGUGCCCAGUCGUGGGGGAUAACGUAGUGAAAAUUACGCUAAUACCGCAUACGAUCUAUGGAUGAAAGCGGGGGAUCGCAAGACCUCGCGCGAUUGGAGCGGCCGAUAUCAGAUUAGGUAGUUGGUGGGGUAAAGGCCCACCAAGCCAACGAUCUGUAGCUGGUCUGAGAGGACGACAAGCCCAACUGGAACUGAGACACGGUCCAGACUCCUACGGGAGGCAGCAGUGGGGAAUUUUGGACAAUGGGCGCAAGCCUGAUCCAGCCAUUCCGCGUGCAGGAUGAAGGCCCUCGGGUUGUAAACUGCUUUUGUACAGAACGAAAAGGUUUCUACUAAUACUAGGAGCUCAUGACGGUACUGUAAGAAUAAGCACCGGCUAACUACGUGCCAGCAGCCGCGGUAA